rnacentral:lncRNA from 1 species
UUUUUCUUACCCUGGCAGGUUCUUUACACGGCCUUAGCUUGCCGUGUCCUUCCUCUGCUCACAGCCACACUGAAGCACACUAGGUGUACCUGGGUAAAAGAGAUGCCUCUAAGUCUUGAGUAAUGCUGCUGAUAUCAAAUGGCAGCAAAAUCGAGUCUACGUUCAUCUAAAAGCAGAAAAGUGAGUUGGACACAACGGAGAAAUAACAGAAGUCAACAACAUGAUUUGGAAGGUCUCGCUUUUGUGGGGAGAAUCAGGCACCUAAGACCUGGAGUCCAAAGCCAGCAUGUGCAGAGAGCUAUUUAAAGUAGCCAUUUGGAAAUAUGACAGAUCAGGUAUGUCUUAAAUAAAUAACACCUCCUCCUGUGGACUUAAACGAGG